UUGUCGACCCACCGUUUCUCUAGAUACUUCCCAGUUCCCACAUUGUUUUUCCCACCGUGCUGCUUGCCUCUACUCUCCCCUUCUUCCUCGUCUCCUCAUCUGCUAAAUUCUCUUCGAUUCUACCAACCGCCGCAACCGUUCAGACUUUCCCAAAGGAUGGGAAGGGGAUCACCAAUUUGAAUUCAGCUCUUCAGGUAUGCAUUCAUUCCAGAUUUAAAACAUCACUUCCGUUUAGUAUGUUGUUUAUCAUUUUUUUAUCACAGCACCGUCAUGCGGUGUUACUGUCCGUCCUUUUAGUUGUUAAAAUCUGUUUGUUUGAGUUGUACAUAGAACUCUUAACGUAGAAUUAGUAAAAUGCAGGUGCAGAAUGAACGACUAAUCAAUGUGGGAAAAUGUAUAUAAUUGUAACUUAGAAAUCUCCCAUUUUGAUUGCACAUAUGCUCUUGAUGUAAAGUAAAUAAAAUGUAAUGUAACUUAAAGAUUGAUUUUACCAUGUUGGUUUAGCUGUUCUGUUAAUUUUUGAAAUAUUUAGAAAUGAAUGGGUUGAUUUAUGAUUUUAUGGAA